ensembl:snRNA U6 U6 spliceosomal RNA
GUGCUUGCUUCAGCAGCACAUAUACUAAAAUUAGAACAGUACAGAGUAGAUUAGCAUGGCCCCUGCACAGAGAUGACAUGCAAAUUAAUGAAGUGUUCCAUAUUUCU